rnacentral:rRNA from 1 species
GUCGAGCGGCAGCACGGGUACUUGUACCUGGUGGCGAGCGGCGGACGGGUGAGUAAUGCCUAGGAAUCUGCCUGGUAGUGGGGGAUAACGUUCGGAAACGGACGCUAAUACCGCAUACGUCCUACGGGAGAAAGUGGGGGAUCUUCGGACCUCACGCUAUCAGAUGAGCCUAGGUCGGAUUAGCUAGUUGGUGAGGUAAUGGCUCACCAAGGCGACGAUCCGUAACUGGUCUGAGAGGAUGAUCAGUCACACUGGAACUGAGACACGGUCCAGACUCCUACGGGAGGCAGCAGUGGGGAAUAUUGGACAAUGGGCGAAAGCCUGAUCCAGCCAUGCCGCGUGUGUGAAGAAGGUCUUCGGAUUGUAAAGCACUUUAAGUUGGGAGGAAGGGCAUUAACCUAAUACGUUGGUGUUUUGACGUUACCGACAGAAUAAGCACCGG